rnacentral:lncRNA from 1 species
GAACGCAGAAAAAUGGCAAACGGGCAAAAAGCUACGUGUCUCUCUGGUAGAUGGGCACAAAGGGGUGGUUCCUAUGACAUGAGUUAGCCAACCACCUUAGGGGAGGCCCCAGCCCCUGGCAAAUGCUCCUCUUGACAGGGUGCCAUUGGCAUCUCUCCAGGGGCAGAGAUGGGGGUCUCCCACCCCGCCCCCUUCCAGUGAUCACUCAUCAUCCCCACAGCAGGGUCAGAAGAUCUCGAAUCAAGGGGAGCACCUGGGGAUGCUUAGAGAUGAACAGCAAAGAGAACCGGUUACAGGAGACCUCAAGAUUUCCGCCAGAGUUAUACUGGGGACAACUGCCAUAUCUGUUAGGCGUGCUGUUAACAGGGGCCACUGGGCAUGGCUGUAUGGGACAAAGACCAGGAAGCCCCGGCAGGGCCAGGCAGCGGUCUCCAGCACCUGCCUCUCCCUCAGGACAACCACUUCCAGCCCUUCUGCACUUGGGACGGGCGGGGCUCGGGGGAAGCCAGUCCUGCAGGAGAUGCCCAGCAGCUCUGCUGAACCAAGCUGAUCAUUACCGUGACACAGCAAGACGGUGGUGAACCCCACCCGGGGACCUUCCCUCCCUCCUGGAAGAUCCUGCUCGGGUUUUUCCCAGAAUCAUUCCCUCAGCAGUCCCACCCACACCCUCGUCUUUAGCUCUUCAUUUUGUCUCCACGUUACAGCCCCACUAAGCUUAGCACCCCUCAGGGAAGGCGCACUGGGCCAAGUAAGAAAACCUGAGCAAGAUCCCUUGUGUGCCUCAGUUUCCCCCUCUGGAGAUAAGCCCGUAGGUACCUGCCACUCAAUUUGAGAACUCCUUUCUAGGGUUCUCCAACUGGCUUAUUCAGGAAUAGACUCACCCUGGAAAGACCCAGGACCGAAAGUGGCUUAGGAGCUCGAGCUGGUGGGUAAUGCCAAGCCAUCAGGGACACCCGGGCCAAUCUGGCGGCCUCCCAAGGGAGCCGAGCACACCUGGGACAUGACUAAAGAAGGAGACCCCCGAGAGCGGCGUGCACAACACCGCUGCCCUCCGAGCCGCAGUGGGGGUGGCCCAUCCUACCCAGCGCCCUCAAAGUUUGCAGCUUCAGGCCCACUCUAGGCCCGCGACUUUGCCUCGGGAAAGCACGUGAAGACGGGCACGGCCACAAGCUGGUGCUCCAGCCCCCCCCCCCCCCCCUCGCCCGGGUCAGAGCACCCACUGCUGGCUGCCGUACCUUCCUCCUUCACCCGGCUCUCCCUGACAUAACACACGCAUACACCAUGACAGGCAGAAUUUUAAAAACUGUUCUUUUAUUCAAUUCCCCCAAACAAACGAACAAACGAAAGAAGCCCCCAACACCCUCUACCCUCCAAGAACCCUUACCUAAAUAAAAAUGUCCCAUUAGAGUUCUUUUCCA